rnacentral:tRNA from 1 species
UGCCGCAUAGCUCAGUUGGUAGAGCAGCUGACUGUUAAUCAGCGGGUCACAGGUUCGAGUCCUGUUGCGGCAGCCA